GGGCCCUUAAAAUACUAGAUUCAUGGUAAUAACUCAUUUUGAAAUGUCAUUUAAUUGUUUACCUUGUUCUCGUACUGUAUAUUAUAGUAGUUUAUGUGACUGCUACAUAAUAAAAGGCAUUACAAUACGGGUGUUGGUUUAUGAAGCGAGCUGUAACAGGCGUGUCUCACUCCGCGAUUUCGUUGCUUUGCUACAGGUAGCUAAAAGUACAUCCGUUCGGCCCCAAUUUUGGGAUUUGCCAUAAGCCGCGCGUGGCGCUGUCGCCACCUAGCGGCCAUAUCUGUGCUGAUCGUAACAGACGCGUUUUGUUAGAGAGUGAGUCUUCUGCACUUAGUACUAUUAUUUAUUCUGUGGCUGUAAGCGAGUUUAUCUUUAUGCUGGCCGUAACUUGCGGUUUUUUAAUGAAUCAUAAAGGGUUUAUGAUAUGUGUGUAGAUAAAAUAUGUUAUAAAAUUGAAAGAGGAAAGAGAUUUCAAAAUUAGUAAUACUUAUGCUUAGUGUGGCAGUAUAAUUUGUCAUAAUUUUUAUUGUAAGUGAUGUUAAAGCAUGUUUACAAUUGAAAAUCGUCCUAAUAUUACUAAAAUACUUGGGUUAGCACUCAAAACAUUGUUAUAGAUAUAUAUACUUAGGGGCUGUCCAUAAAUUACGUCAUCGAUUUUUGACGAUUUUUGACCCCCCCCCCCCUAAAAUCAUCCAAAAAUCAUGCUUCAAAUGACUCCGUUUCCUCCUACGGCAUGCUACCGUCAUCCGAUGUCCAGACCCCCCCCCUAAUUUGAAAUGACGUAAUUUAUGAAUAGCCUUAUAUGACUCUAGGUGCCAGUUGAUGUACAACCGUCCUCAGAUCUAUCAAAGCGGUCAAGGUGCUCAGAAAUAUCUAAAUAUGCAAUUUAACGCCUUAAUAAUAGAGGCGUGUACAAAUAUUUGUUUGCCUUGGCUACUCUAAUACCUAUAUCUGAAACGAUUGUACACAACUUGCAAUCAUUCAACUCGAAUAAAAGAUAUAAAAAAUUUAAUCAUUUUUGAGGCUAUUGUAAAAUGCGCAAUUCGAAGUUUUUAAUCAUUCUGAUACUUCUGUAUACCAAUACUGUAUGUACUGUGUGUACAGUCACCAAUAGGUAGAUAUAUGGGAGCGGCCAAGAUGCUCACAUAUAUCUGAACACUCCUCUGUUGUUGAGGCCGUUAGAGUGCGUGUUCAGAUAUUGUGAACACCAUGGCCGCUCCGAUAUAUUUGAUGGCGACAACACCAUUGUCGACACAGUCGAGUGAAUCAACUUUUUCUUGUCUUCGUUGUCAUGGUUACGAUCUCCUGGGUCACUUUUAAACCCCUGGUUUUGUGGUAGGUAUUUAAAAUAACCAACCAAGAAAUUAGGACAUCCAAAUCCGAAAAUAAUCGCCAAACGUAGAGCCUCGUCCAGCUUUUCUGAAAACCUAUAUAAUGAUUUUUAAAUAUCUUUUUCAAGAUUUUCAAAUAAGUUUGUACUACGGAUGUUAUGGAGAAUAAUGGAGAUCUUUUAAGAGAAGAAAUUAUUAAAAAAAACCGGGCAAGUGCGAGUCGGACUCGCGCACGAAGGGUUCCGUACCAUAAUGCAAAAAAAAACGGUCACCCAUCCAAGUACCUACUGACCACCCCGACGUUGCUUAACUUUGGUCAAAAAUCACGUUUGUUGUAUUGGAGCCCCAUUUUAAUCAUUAUUUUAUUUUGUUUUUAGUAUUUGUUGUUAUAGCGGCAACAGAAAUACAUCAUCUGUGAAAAUUUCAACUGUAGCUAGCUAUCACGGUUCGUGAGGUACAGCCUGGUGACAGACGGACGGACAGCGAAGUCUUAGUAAUAGGGUCCCGUUUUACCCUUUGGGUACGGAACCCUAAAAAAGGUGGUGUUCCACUCUUAAAAAGUUUACUUACUUGGCUGGCGCGAUGACCCAAAAUGAUUCUUGGCGUCCAAUAAAAGUUUAUAAUAUUUAAUUUUAAGCAACUUGACUUGCAUAGUCAGCACUUGUAUUAUUCAUAUUGUUGUAUAAUUAAGUGUAAAUAAUUUAUUAAUAUUGAAGAAUGCUUAUUUAGUUCUGUAUUAUGUUAUUGCUUGAUCUCUUACCAUGCUACAUGAAUAUACUUAAAUGUAAUACUCAGCACGAAAUGCAUUGGACUUAGCCCCUAGCCCAGAGACCUAUAAAAAGGUCUCCUGUUCUAUUCUAAUUUGAACUUUGUGUUGACAGAAUAAAAUUUCAUUUUGCUUGGCAUGGUUUGACGUAUGGGCGGCAAGAGGUUAGAGGUCUCAACACACAAGAGCGCUGGUGGCCUAGCGGUAAGAGCGUGUGACUUUCAAUCCGGAGGUUGUGGGUUCAAACCCUGGCUUGUACCAAUGAGUCCGUCGGGACUUGUACGAAAUAUCAUUUGAUAUUUACCAGUUGCUUUUCGGUGAAGGAAAACAUCGUGAGGAAACCGGACUAAUCCCAACAAGGCCUGGUUCCCCCUCUGGGUUGGAAUGUCAGAUGGCAGUCGCUUUCGUAAAAACUAGUAUCUACGCCAAUUCUCGGGAUUAGUUGCCAAGCGGACCCCAGGCUCCCAGGAGCCGUGGCACUAAAAUGAAAAUUAUUAUAAUCUUUACGAAGAAAACUGUUAUGCACAAUUAACCAACAAUUAUUUUUUUUCAAUAUAUUUCGUGCUGACUGUACCUUAGGGACUGUCGCAAUACUUUUUCUAUAGUGAUGCUGUAAACGAGAUUUUAAAUAGAAAUGUUUUUGUUAUAA